GCGGGGGCGCCGCUUCGGGAGCGCGGGCAGUUCUAGGAGGCCGACCAGGAGAGCCUCCCGGUUCCCCUUCCCCUUUUCUUGGACCCCGCGGGGACACCCCCUCGCCGCCACCCGGGCCUCCCCGAGUGCCCGAUUGCGGGUCCAGGCGGCCCAGGCCAGUCAAAAGGGAAGUGGGGUUACCCCACAGCCAGGCCACGGGGCUGGGGUCAGACCCGGGAGCCGGAGGUUGGAGACGUGCGACAGUCACCUGCGAGCAGGUCCCAGAGGGGAGACCCAGGGUUGCAGGGGACGCCCCUGCGUGGCAGCUACCCAGCCUUGGCCCACUGCCAGGUUCUUUGCCAACCCUGACGCGAGUGUGGAGCCCCUCUCCCCUCCCAUAUAAAAACGCUUUUAUGCACUGGGGUCUGCAAACCGACUUGGUCCGGUGUGGGUUGGGCCAGGUGCUCUCGGCGGGGCUGGAGAGCUCGAGGGGGAACGAUGGCCCCAACCUACGGCCCGCGUCCGCCAGAGGGCGCCCUGGGGUCUCCUAGGGGAGUGCAGUUUGGUGCUGCGCGCCCCAGGCCCCGGAAUAGGCGCGCCAGGGGUCUGCGGGAAUGGCUGUCUCCGGAGCUGGAAAGUGUUACGUGGCUGCAUGACCAUACACUUCUGGGCAGAGCCCAGUGGAAGACAAGGAAGACUCAAGGAAUAGCCCUUGAGGUAAUGGAUGAGAAAGUGCUUUGUAAAUUACAAUGCUCUGACACAAGUCAAGUUCAUUCAUCCAUUCCAUAAACCCUUGCUGAGAGCCUGCUUUUGCCAGGCACAGGGCAAAGGGCUGGAAGACAGAAGUGCUGGGUGAAUCCUGCAGGGGGAGAUGGCUGAGGCAAUCGACAUGGGGCCCCCAGGUGAUGAGUAUAGUAGGAGGUACGGGGCUCCCUGCCUACUGACUCAGGAGAUCGAACUGUUGUUCGGGCUCUAUCACCCAGUAGCUGUGUGACUAGGCAAUCUGCCUUGCCAGCUGUGCCUUGGUUUCCUUAUUUG
rnacentral:lncRNA from 1 species